GAGGAGGCCGCGGUUACGACUCGCUGACACCUCCCAGUUCACCUUCCUGGCAUGGAAAUUGGGAGAGCGAGAGGUUCUUGCUCCCGGUGUCGCUUUUUAUCAGACCUCUUGAUGGUUUCUCUGAUGUACCUCUGCGUCCUUGAACCCUCAUAUUGCCCACCCCCCCAGUACUCCUGGGCUGAGACCAAAACGCAAGCCACUGAAAUAGUCAUGUAAUUAUGACACCAACGGUUUCCUAUUAUUAUUGGAAUGAGAUCUGAAGCCCCACUGCCUGGAAUCCAAUCCUGUCUUCACCACACCUUUUGAUAUCCCAGGAAAGUUACUUCACCUCGCUGUGCCUCAGUUCCCUCAUUUGUAAGGCUGGAAUGCAGUGGCGUGAUCAUGGCUAACUGCUGCUUCAACCUCCUGGACCCAAAGGAUUCUCCUGCCUCGACAUCCUGAGUAGUUGGAACUACAGGCACCAGGCGCAAGCCACCAUACCUAGAAGAAGCCGAAUACCUGAAUAGACCAAUAACAAGUUCUGAAAUUGAGGCAGUAAUUAAUAGCCUACCAACCAAAAAAAAGUCCAGGACCAGACAGAUACACAGCUGAAUUCUACCAGAGGUAAAAAGAGGAGAUGAUACCAUUCCUUCUAAAACUAUUCCAAACAAUAGAAAAAGAGAGACUCCUCCCUAACUCACUUUAUUAGGCCAGCAUCAUCCUGAUACCAAAACCUAGCAGAGACACAACAAAAAAAAAAAGAAAAUUUCAGGCCAAUAUCCCUGAUGAGAUCGAUGCAAAAACCCUCAAUGGAAUACUGGCAAACUGAAUCCAGCAGUACAUUAACAAGCUUUUCCACCAAGUUCAAAUCAGCUUCAUCUCUGGGAUGCAAGGCUGGUUCAACAUACAUAAAUCAAUAAAUGUAAUCAAUCACGUAAACAGAACCAAUGACAAAAACCACAUGAUUACAUCAAAAGAUGCAGAGAUGGCCUUCGACAAAAUUUAAUACCCCAUCAUGCUGAAAACACUCAAUAAACUAGGUAUCGAUGGAACGUAUCUCAAAAUAAUAAGAGCUGUUUAUGAAAAACCCACAGCCAGUAUCAUACAGAAUGGGCAAAAGCUGGAAGCAUUCCCUUUGAAAACCAGCACAAGACAAGGAUGCCCUCUCUCACCACUCCUAUUCAACAUAGUAUUGGAAGUUCUGGCCAGGGCAAUCAGGCAAGAGAAAGAAAUAAAGGGUAUUCAAAUAGGAACAGAGGAAGUCAAAUUGUCUCAUACACAGAUGACAUGAUUGCAUAUUUAGAAAACCCCAUUGUCUCAGCCCCAAAUCUCCUUAAGCUGAUAAGCAACUUCAGCAAAGUCUCAGGAUACAAAAUCAAUGUGCAAAAAUCACAAGCAUUCCUAUACACCAAUAAACAGACAAACAGAGAACGAAAUCGUGAGUAAACUCCCAUUCACAAUUGCUACAGAGAGAAUAAAAUACCUAGCAAUACAACUUACAAGGGAUGUGAAGGACCUCUUGAAGGAGAACAACAGACCACUGCUCAAGGAAAUAAGAGAGAACAGAAACAAAUGGAAAAACAUUCCAUGCUCAUGGAUAGGAAGAAUCAAUAUCAUGAAAAUGGCCACACUGCCCAAAGUAAUUUAUAGAUUCAAUGCUAUUCCCAUCAAGCUACCAUUGACUUUCUUCACAGCAUUAGAAAGAAACUACUUUAAAUUUCAUAUGGAACCAAAAAUAGCCCACAUAGCCAAGACAAUCCUAAACUAAAAGAACAAAGCUGGAGGCAUCAUACUACCUGACUUCUAACUAUACUACAAGGCUACAGUAAUUAAAACAGCAUGGUACUGGUACCAAAACAGAUAUAUAGAACAAUGGAACAGAACAGAAGCCUCAGCAAUAACACCACACAUCCACAACCAUCUGAUCUUUGACAAAUCUGACAAAAACAAGCAAUGGGGAAAGUUUCCCUACUUAAUAAAUGGUGAUGGGAAAACUGGCUAGCCAUAUGCAGAAAACUGAAACUGGACCCCUUCUUUACACAUUAUUCAAAAAUUAACUCAAGAUGGAUUAAAGAUUUAAAUGAAAGACCUAAAACCAUGAAAAACCCUAGAAGAAAACCUAGGCAACACUAUUCAGGACAUAGGCAUGGGCAAAGACUUCACAACUAAAACACCAAAAGCAAUGGCAACAAAAGCCAAAAUUGACAAAUGGGAUCUAAUUAAACUAAAGAGCUUCUGCACAGCAAAAGAAACUACCAUCAGCAUGAACAGGCAGCCUACAGAAUGAGAGAAAAUUUUUGCAAUUUAUCCAUCUGAUAAAGGGCUAAUAUGCAGGAUCUACACGGAAUUUAAACAAAUUUACAAGAAAAAAACAAACAACCCCAUCAAAAAGUGAGUGAAGGAUAUGAACAGACACUUUUCAAAAGAAGACAUUUAUGUGGCUGACAAACAUAUGAAAAAAAGCUCAUCAUCACUGGUCAUUAGAGAAAUGCAAAUCAAAAUCACCAUGAGACACCAUCUCACUCCAGUUAGAAUGGCAAUCAUUAAAAAGUCAGGAAACAACAGAUGCUGGAAAGGAUGUGGAGAAAUAGGAACACUUUUACACUGUUGGUGGGAGUGUAAAUUAGUUCAACCACUGUGGAAGACAGUGUGGUGAUUCCUCAAGUAUCUAGAACUAGAAAUACCAUUUGACCCAACAAUCCCAUUACUAGGCAUAUACCCAAAGGAUUAUAAAUCAUUCUACUAUAAAGACACAUGCACAUGUAUGUUUACUGCAGCACUAUUCACAAUAGCAAAGGCUUGGAACCAGUCCAAAUGGCCAUCAAUGAUAGACUGGAUAAAGAAAAUGUGGCACAUAUACCCCAGGAAAUACUAUGCAGCCAUAAAAAAGGAUGAGUUCGUGUCCUUUGCAGGGCAUGGAUGAAGCUGGAAACCAUCAUUCUCAGCAAACUAUCAUGGGAACAGAAAACCAAACACCGCAUAUUCUCACUCUUAAGUGGGAGUUGAACAAUGAAAACAUAUGGCACAGGGAGGGAAACAUCACACACCAGGGCCUGUCGGUGGGUGGGGGACAAGGGGAGAGAUAGCAUUAGGAGAAAUGCCUAAUGUAGAUGAUGGGUUGAUGGGUGCAGCAAACCACCAUGGCACAUGUAUACCUAUGUAACAAACCUGCACAUUCUGCAUGUUUAUCCCAGAACUUAAAGUAUAAUUUAAAAAAAAUGCAAAUAAAAUUGUCAGUAAUAAACAUCAGUAUCAGCAGAUUUAUAAGUUACAUGUAUCUCAAAUUCUUUUUUAUACAUGUACUUUAUUUUUUAUUUACAAAUAUUUGUCAAAUAAAGAUUGAGUAUAUUUUGGAACACACAAAAAAGAAGAAAUUACUUAGGCAGAUAGUGAGGGAAUGGAAGUCCUCUGUAAGGUUUUACUUUUAAUAAAAAGCAGCCCUAAAUUAUUUUCCUUUCUAACAAAAAGCAGCCUGUAAAAUCAAGCCACAGACAUAGAUGCCAGCAGUUGUGCCAAUCAUGCUCAAGAUGUCGACUCCAUCUUCCCUUCUCUUCGUCAGCCACAUGUAGAGUAAGGAGCAGACCAGAUGGAGUCUGCCAAGUGAAAAGUUCAUUUGCAUAAUAAGAUUAGGGUGGGGCAGCCCGCCUCCCUGUGCGCUAUGUAAACAUCAUACCUGGUCGAACCAAUCUGUGAGCCCUAUAUAAAUCAGACACUGCCUCCUCAAGCCUGACUAUAAAAUCUGGGGCAUCUGCCAAGGCCGGUGGCCUUUCCUCUGGGAAGUCCCCUGUCUCUCACUAGAGAGAGAGCAGUUUUCCUUUCUUUUUCUUUGCAUAUUAAACCUCCACUCCUAAACUGCU